UUUUCGGACCUAGCGGCGGACGGGUGAGUAAUGCGUAGGAAGCUACCCGAUAGAGGGGGAUACCAGUUGGAAACGACUGUUAAUACCGCAUAAUGUCUACGGACCAAAGUGUGGGACCUUCGGGCCACAUGCUAUCGGAUGCGCCUACGUGGGAUUAGCUAGUUGGUGAGGUAAUGGCUCACCAAGGCGACGAUCUCUAGCUGGUUUGAGAGGAUGAUCAGCCACACUGGAACUGAGACACGGUCCAGACUCCUACGGGAGGCAGCAGUGGGGAAUAUUGGACAAUGGGCGCAAGCCUGAUCCAGCCAUGCCGCGUGUGUGAAGAAGGCCUUAGGGUUGUAAAGCACUUUCAGCGAGGAGGAAGGGGUUGUAGUUAAUAGCUGCAAUUUUUGACGUUACUCGCAGAAGAAGCACCGGCUAACUCUGUGCCAGCAGCCGCGGUAAUACAGAGGGUGCAAGCGUUAAUCGGAAUUACUGGGCGUAAAGCGCACGCAGGCGGUUGGUUAAGUCAGAUGUGAAAGCCCCGGGCUCAACCUGGGAAUUGCAUUUGAAACUGGCCAACUAGAGUAUGUGAGAGGGGGGUAGAAUUCCAAGUGUAGCGGUGAAAUGCGUAGAGAUUUGGAGGAAUACCAGUGGCGAAGGCGGCCCCCUGGCACAAUACUGACGCUCAGGUGCGAAAGCGUGGGGGAGCAAACAGGAUUAGAUACCCUGG
rnacentral:rRNA from 1 species